GACGAACGCUGGCGGCGUGCCUAAUACAUGCAAGUCGAACGCAGUUGCGCACGGGGGAGUAACACGUAUGUAACUGCCUGGUAGCGGGGGGUAACUAUUGGAAACGAUCGCUAAUACCGCAUACUACCAGAUGGACCUGCGUUGUAUUCGCUAGUUGGUUAGGUAACGGCUCACCAAGGCAACGAUACAUAGCCGACCUGAGAGGGUGAUCGGACACACUGGGACUGAGACACGGCCCAGACUCCUACGGGAGGCAGCAGUAGGGAAUCUUCGGCAAUGGGGGCAACCCUGACCGAGCAACGCCGCGUGAGUGAAGAAGGUUUGCGGAUCGUAAAGCUCUGUUGUUAAGGAAGCGGUACUUAACCAGAAAGGGACGGUUAACUACGGGCCAGCAGCCGCGUAAUAC
rnacentral:rRNA from 1 species